UACGUAGGGUGCAAGCGUUGUCCGGAAUUAUUGGGCGUAAAGAGCUCGUAGGCGGUGUGUCGCGUCUGCUGUGAAAGCCCGGAGCUCAACUCCGGGUCUGCAGUCGAUACGGGCAGACUUGAGUGUUGCAGGGGAGACUGGAAUUCCUGGUGUAGCGGUGAAAUGCGCAGAUAUCAGGAGGAACACCGGUGGCGAAGGCGGGUCUCUGGGCAACAACUGACGCUGAGGAGCGAAAGCGUGGGGAGCGAACAGG
rnacentral:rRNA from 1 species